rnacentral:rRNA from 1 species
CCUUCGAACCAUGGUUAAGGAACUCGGCAAAAUGCCCCCGUAACUUCGGGAGAAGGGGGGCCGGAUACGUGAACCACCUUGCGUGGGGAAGCGUUGAAGGCCGCAGAGACCAGGCCCAAGCGACUGUUUACUAAAAACACAGGUCCGUGCGAAGUUGUAAGACGAUGUAUACGGACUGACUCCUGCCCGGUGCUGGAAGGUUAAGGGGACCGGUAAGACACGCAAGUGUCGAAGCUGAGAACUUAAGCCCCAGUAAACGGCGGUGGUAACUAUAACCAUCCUAAGGUAGCGAAAUUCCUUGUCGGGUAAGUUCCGACCUGCACGAAUGGAGUAACGACUUGGGCGCUGUCUCAACCAUGGACUCGGCGAAAUUGCAGUACGAGUAAAGAUGCUCGUUACGCGCGGCAGGACGGAAAGACCCCGGGACCUUUACUAUAGUUUGGUAUUGGUGUUUGGUUCGGCUUGUGUAGGAUAGGUGGGAGACUGUGAAGCGCUCACGCCAGUGAGUGUGGAGUCAACGUUGAAAUACCACUCUGGUCGUACUAGAUGUCUAACCUAGGACCAUUAUCUGGUUCAGGGACAGUGCCUGAUGGGUAGUUUAACUGGGGCGGUUGCCUCCUAAAAUGUAACGGAGGCGCUCAAAGGUUCCCUCAGCCUGGUUGGCAAUCAGGUUUCGAGUGUAAGUGCACAAGGGAGCUUGACUGUGAGACAGACAUGUCGAGCAGGGACGAAAGUCGGAACUAGUGAUCCGGCGUCGGCAUGUGGAAGCGACGUCGCUCAACGGAUAAAAGGUACCCCGGGGAUAACAGGCUGAUCUUCCCCAAGAGUCCAUAUCGACGGGAUGGUUUGGCACCUCGAUGUCGGCUCGUCGCAUCCUGGGGCUGGAGUAGGUCCCAAGGGUUGGGCUGUUCGCCCAUUAAAGCGGCACGCGAGCUGGGUUUAGAACGUCGUGAGACAGUUCGGUCCCUAUCCGCCGCGCGCGCAGGAAACUUGAGAAAGGCUGUCCCUAGUACGAGAGGACCGGGAUGGACGAACCUCUGGUGUGCCAGUUGUCCCGCCAGGGGCACGGCUGGUUGGCUACGUUCGGAAGUGAUAACCGCUGAAUGCAUCUAAGCGGGAAGCACGUUUCAAGAUGAGGUUUCCCACCGGGUAACCGGGUAAGGCCCCCAGCAGAACACUGGGUUGAUAGGCCGGAGGUGUACAGCAGCAAUGCCUAGCCGACCGGUACUAAUAGGCCGAGGGCUUGCC